AUUGAACGCUGGCGGCAGGCCUAACACAUGCAAGUCGAACGAGUGGCGGACGGGUGAGUCAUGUCUGGGAAACUGCCCGAGGGAGGGGGAUAAAUACUGGACACGGUAGCUAAUACCGCAUACCAUCGGAUGUGCCCAGAUGGGAUUAGCUAGUAGGUGGGGUAACGGCUCACCUAGGCGACGAUCCCUAACUGGUCUGAGAGGAUGACCAGCAACACUGGAACUGAGACACGGUCCAGACGCCUACGGGAGGCAGCAGUGGGGAAUAUUGAACAAUGGGGGAAAGCCUGAUGCAGCCAUGCCGCGUGUAUGAAGAAGGCCUUCGGGUUGUAAAGUACGUUCAGCGGGUAUGCGUUACCCGCAGAAGAAGCACCGGCUAACUCCGUGCCAGCAGCCGCGGUAAUAC
rnacentral:rRNA from 1 species